GGGCUAAAACAGUGUAACUUCCUGUUGGCCAGGAGGAAAGGAGAGGACACAGGGCCAAGAGAAUGAAUAGACUUGGCCAGGGGAUGCCCAAGCAUGAGAUAACCUAGAGUCCUUUGUCUCAGAAAAUACCAUACCCCUUUGAAAACAAACCCAGUAUUCCUCCUGGAAGACUGGUCAUACACUGCAUAGAAUAUUAGGAACAAAAGGGAAUAAUAAACUUACAAUGUCAGUACUGUUGGAAAUCCCACUAGAUCUUCUUAUAGCUCAAAUAGGUAGCCUUUACCUUUUCCUCCAAGAGUAAUGUUGCUUAUAUAACAAAAAACAAAAUCCACUAACACAAGGCAGCAGGAAGCAGUCUAAAGACCAUUGUACCUCCAUUCCUGCCUCAUCAGCCACCCCUCCCUAUUUCCUCACCAUGUAAAAUAAAUAAGAGGGAGGAAUUUUGAAAAACUGAGGACCACACUCUUUCUAGAAUGAGGUGCUUCCUCUAGCAGUCUACCUUCAGUAACUCAAGAGUCAGAGACUAGGUCAUUACUUGUUUUCAAUUCUGAUAUGUUUCCGCUGUCUGUGUCACAUAUUCUUUCUAUGCAUUCUAUCAUUCUGUAAAAGCUUUAACAGCUUUCUCCUCCAUUCUCAUUCAGUGUAUAUCCCUCCCCUCCCAAGUAAAUCUCUUGUGUGAGGGCUGUUGCAGUGCAUGACUCUGUGGCAUUCCUUGGCCACAUCUGCCAAGGUACUUUUGAUUGUGAAACCCUAACACUUUUUUUUCCACAUAUGACUGCUACACAAAUAAAAUUGAGUUCUAGUUUUGCCUAUAACACGAGUAAAACAUUGGGUAAUCAAUCUGUUCUUCCCUGAGGAUGACUAUUUUUCUCCCUCUCUCAGUAUUUCUUAGUUGUCUGUCGUUCUUUCUUGAAGGUUGAGGCCUCUCAGUGUUUUUCCCUUUCACAUUGGGGUAUCAUUGUUCAGGUCAUAUUUAGGCAGCCAUGGCUGUGAGACUUCAUUGUUAUAUCUCCUUUGACAUUUAGUAGAAAUAGUACAGACCUCAGGCGUAAGCCACAGAUGAAGUUUAAUAUUUCCUAUUAGUCAUAUAUAACUUAAAAUUUAUAUUUUAUUAAAAUAAAAUUAAAGUAAAAAUCUCAUUUAGUAUGAUAAUAUAAACCUUUAUAUUUCUGUAAAAUGUAAAAUUUAAAAAUGACUUCUAAAAUAUAUUUCUUAGAAAAUCUGAAAGCUGGUAUAUAGUUUUCAUUUACAGAGACAGUCAUAUCUGAGGUGUUUGAAAGCACAAUUAAUUACUGGGCACUGUAUUAGCAACUCAACUAAGCUAACAGAAGCUAAUCUCAAACUUUUAUGAAUGAAAGUUUUAUGAGAGCAGAAAUACCAUCAGAUAGAUGUGACAUCAUUAUCAUUGGGAAAGGAAAGUAUAAUGAAAUAGAAAUAAACAUUUGGAGAAUAGUUCCAGUGACCCAUGAACAACAACC
rnacentral:lncRNA from 1 species